AUUGAACGCUGGCGGAAUGCUUUACACAUGCAAGUCGAACGGCAGCACGGGGCAACCUGGUGGCGAGUGGCGAACGGGUGAGUAAUACAUCGGAACGUGCCCAAUCGUGGGGGAUAACGUAGCGAAAGUUACGCUAAUACCGCAUACGAUCUACGGAUGAAAGCGGGGGAUCGCAAGACCUCGCGCGAAUGGAGCGGCCGAUGUCAGAUUAGGUAGUUGGUGGGGUAAAGGCUCACCAAGCCAACGAUCUGUAGCUGGUCUGAGAGGACGACCAGCCACACUGGGACUGUGACACGGCCCAGACUCCUACGGGAGGCAGCAGUGGGGAAUUUUGGACAAUGGGCGCAAGCCUGAUCCAGCCAUUCCGCGUGCAGGAUGAAGGCCCUCGGGUUGUAAACUGCUUUUGUACGGAACGAAACGGUUCUCUCUAAUACAGGGGGCUAAUGACGGUACCGUAAGAAUAAGCACCGGCUAACUACGUGCCAGCCGCCGCAGUAACAC
rnacentral:rRNA from 1 species